rnacentral:rRNA from 1 species
AGAGUGAACGCUGGCGGCAGGCCUAACACAUGCAAGUCGAACGGCAGCACAGCAGAGCUUGCUCUGUGGGUGGCGAGUGGCGGACGGGUGAGGAUAACGUCGGAAUCUGCCUAUUUGUGGGGGAUAACGUAGGGAAACUUACGCUAAUACCGCAUACGACCUACGGGUGAAAGCGGAGGACCUUCGGGCUUCGCGCAGAUAGAUGAGCCGACGUCGGAUUAGCUAGUUGGCGGGGUAAAGCCCACAAGGCGACGAUCCGUAGCUGGUCUGAGAGGAUGAUCAGCCACACUGGAACUGAGACACGGUCCAGCUCCUACGGGAGCAGCAGGUGGGGAAUAUUGGACAAGUGGGCGCAAGCCUGAUCCAGCCAUCGCCGCGUGUGUAGAAGGAACGGUCCGUUGGGUUAGUAAAGUCGUAACGUUUUA